rnacentral:rRNA from 1 species
GGACCCGCACAAGUAGUGGAGCAUGUGGUUUAAUUCGAAGAUACGCGCAGAACCUUACCAACACUUGACAUGUUCGUCGCGACUUUAAGAGAUUAAAGUUUUCGGUUCGGCCGGACGAAACACAGGUGCUGCAUGGCUGUCGUCAGCUCGUGUCGUGAGAUGUUGGGUUAAGUCCCGCAACGAGCGCAACCCUCACUUUUAGUUGCCAUCAUUAAGUUGGGCACUCUGAAAGAACUGCCAGUGAUAAGCUGGAGGAAGGUGGGGAUGACGUCAAGUCCUCAUGGCCCUUACGUGUUGGGCUACACACGUGCUACAAUGGUAUUUACAACAGGAAGCAAGACUGCGAAGUUAAGCAAAUCCCUAAAAAAUACCUCAGUUCGGAUUGCACUCUGCAACUCGAGUGCAUGAAGCUGGAAUUACUAGUAA